AAAACCCUCCUUAUCUUCACAAAAUUGAAGAAUUGAAGCACUAAACAUGGCUGAAACACUUGCAUGUUAACAAAUUCAUGAUCCUCUAGUCCUAACAAGCUCAAGGGAUUAAAGAAGAAAGCUCAAGUCGCUCCGGAUCACAAACAAACAACGACAAAGGUAAAGCAAUUUGAUGGAUGGCACUACUUGGAUCGAACACAUUCUUGAUGCACGCUUCCGCGAAGCUACUAGUUAUGGUCUAAACUUUUGUAAAUGGUUUUGUAAAAACGGGUCCUUUGUAAGUAACAUAACCCGGUAGUUGAUAGAUGUUAGAACUUGUAGUUGAAAACAAUGUUAGUUGGUUACGGAACGUUUGGGUUGUGAACUCUUUUGUAACUACUUUAUUAGCUAUCACAAGGUUAAAUGAAGAAAUUUUACUUGUGAAAUCA